rnacentral:lncRNA from 1 species
AACCAUUUAUUAAAGACUCAUAAGAUUCAACAUAGUAUGAUAUUACAAACAGGGGUCUCGUGACCCGACACUCAAGUCAUACAAACAACAAGAGGAAGCAAAUCAUGUCUGGGUACAGACAUCUACUAAAAGUGGCUGGAAGAGCUUGAAAAGCUACUACGACCCUACCAAAGGAGCCAGACCUCUGUCUGGGAUUCCCAAGCUAUUCCGGUCAACAUCGAACACAUCGCGUAGAACCUUUAAAUGAGUCUAAGUCUUCUCUGCAAAAACAUAAAUAAAGCAACCGUGAGUACAAAGGUACUUAGCAAGUCUUACAUCAAAACUAUCUGCAUACGCAUAAUGUUUCAAUGGAAGGAUUGUGGGGUUUGAUUGCAGCAAGCCAGCUUUGACUCUUGGCUAACCUGUACUACGACUACAAGUUCUUUCUUUGAGGUGGGAUAGCGCACAUGAGUCCACAUAUUCACCAAUUCAAUACACCACUAAGGAUCCACUCUCGUCUCCCUACGAGAAGGCCUUCCAUAGCACUCACACUUAUCUUGCAUGUUUUUGAGUAUCCAUUUAAAUUGUCUAUGUACCACGAAAUGUUUCCAAGUAGUCCAUAUCCAAGGACGCGGCUAUUCGAACAGAUUAAAUCACCCUGCAGGGGUAUACUUCUUCACACACGCUCCCACCACUUAUCACCAUGUGCACGUCAUGCAUCUCGGCAACCUUCAAGCGGAAGCACUGGCGUGGGUGUCGGCCAUGACCGUUAACCACACAAGACCCUAGUCCAGGUUUAUCGCCUAUUUGAGCCUGAACCCGCAAGGAAGUCCGGCCGAGGUUUCCUCUACGGCCCGAAACGAUGUGCGCAGGGUUCCCAAGCCCACCAUCCGGGUGCCACUAGGUACACCGUGCCACUGUGUAUCUACCACAGAGAAGCCUACCACGUCGGGUAGAGCUAAACACAGCCGCCAACACUUUUCCUACGAACACCAGAAACUAGUUGCAACUCCUGGACAAAGAUCUAGGCGAUUAAUAAGCCAAGAGGGUCGAUUAAGUAUCCCAAUGUGUGGUAGUAUCUUGUCUUGGAUAACAUACACAGACCUCAGUUCUUAGGGACGGUCCCAAUGAGACAACCCACCAUGUACUCCUACAUGGCAUCUCAUCGCUACCUUUANUUGGUUGACAUUUUUAUUUCAGUCCAAUAUUUUAUUGGAAAAUCAGGGACAUUUCCUUGAAUCAAUUUGAAGCAAUAUUUAUGUUGCUUGUUUGACAAAAAAUUAAAUGAUGAGGCUUGAUCACUCCUCAUUUCAUUUCCAGAAGAAAAAAAACAGGAAUGCAUGCAUGAGAUGCAAAGACAAACAAUUCUAGGUCUGGGGCUGUGACAGUGUUGUUUUUGGGCAGAAAUAAAGUUCUCAGAAUGAUCUAAAAAUUUACGAAGAAUUUUUGUGGAAUAUAUUAAAAAUACUGGCGCAAGAAUCAGCGGAGGAAGUGGAGCGUAGAGCCCACAAGCCCGAGGAUAUUUUCCGGGUCUCUGGCUACUACCGAAAAGGUGAAAACGAUGGGAAAGUUCUAUGUUCAUUAUGCUAGGGACGCGUGACACACGAACGGAUAACGUAAUCGGAUUCGUUUCAUUUUUUGACCACCUUUCAUGUACAAAAUACUUUCAUCCAGGUUUCGAAUUAUUUUAUAUUAAUUUUUAAAGUUUGAUUAUUAUACUAAAAUUAAACAGAUUUAAUUUAAAUAGGAAUUGCAACUAUGACAUCAGCAUGGCAUAAUGCUGACAUGAGCCAUCACAAAGGUUUGACUCGUCAAACUAACAAGUGGGACCCAUGUGUCAUCGACACAAGGCUAACCAAUGUUUAUUCUUAAUUAAAACAAAUUAAUUUAGCAGGGGGGCCCGCAUGUUAGUGUCCCAUUAGAGAAAUUAAUUUAUUUUAAUUAAUCUAACUCGUGCAAUUAGUGCUAAUGGACCUGGGCCCACAUGGCAUACUCUUUUUACCAAACAUAGUGAUUCAUUAACCUAGUUAAGUUUAGUUAAGUUAACUAACUAAUUAAUUAAUUAACUAUGUAAUUAAUUAUAAAAAGUAUUUGUUUAUUUUUAUUAUUCCUCUUUUUUUAAAACGUUCUAUAGGGGAGCAAUUUGUCAUAGUGUGAGGGGGGUUAGUGAAAGAGGGGGAUUAGCCCCUAAUUAAGCUAGGCCGACCCCACUAGCACGGAGCCAACCAACUAGCACGGGCUAGCAUGCGUGAACAUGCGGAGACAAAGACAUGGCCAUGGCCCGAUGGCGACGACACCGGUGAACGGCGUGGCCGGGGGGGCACGGUGCAGCCAGCACGCGUGGGCGUAUGCGGACGUGGCACGACCGCGGUCAUACGAGCAGGACGGACCGUGGGCAGCCAGGGAGGGACCACACCGGAGUGGGUUGCACGGGAGCACGCGGCGGGCGCAGUGAGCGUGCGAUGACGGGGUGGCUACGAGGCCUCAGGUGUAGCGACGCGGGGCGGGGCGCGGUAGUGCACGGCGUGCGGGCGGGCUCGUAGCAUGGGCGAUGGCAGUGGGGCACGGCAUGGACAGCAGGAGGGGCGCAGCGGCGCCGGUGGGUUGCACGUGGCGGCGAGCAGGGCCUAGGCACUACCGGGUGCGUCGGCCGGAGGGAGGGGUGGCAUGUGAGGUGGAAAAAUGGGGGUGCCUCAUCGUCGUUGGUGAGUAGAGGGGCGGGAUGGCGGCGUCGUCGGUAGGAUGGCAUCGGGGGUGGUCGGAGGGGCGAGCUGCAUGCGGAAGCGAGGUGGCGGCGUCGGGGGUCCGCCCGAUCCCGAUCUGGAUCAGGAGAGGUGAGAGAGUGGUGGGGNNNNNNNNNNNNNNNNNNNNNNNNNNNNNNNNNNNNNNNNNNNNNNNNNNNNNNNNNNNNNNNNNNNNNNNNNNNNNNNNNNNNNNNNNNNNNNNNNNNNNNNNNNNNNNNNNNNNNNNNNNNNNNNNNNNNNNNNNNNNNNNNNNNGGCCGAGUGAGGGGAGGGAGUGGGGAGAGUGGGGUGGUGGUGCCCUAGUAGGUGGCGAGGGUGGGCCGACCCCUUUAUGUGGCAGAAUGGGCCUAGGCCCAGCUGGGCCGACCCAUUUAUGUGGCAAAAUAGGCCUAGGCCCAGCUGGCCGGCCAGGGUGGUUGUUUCAUUUUUAUUUUUAUCUCUUUAUUUUUUUAGAAAAUCCUUUUAUACAUUUGUGUUUUAUUUAAUUUUAGUGCCAAAAAAACUUUUAUAAAAUAGGUGACUUAGUCCAAUAUUUGUUAGGCAAUAUUUGGUACCGUCACAAAUUGUUUGGGAGCCAUUUAAAAAGGUUAGAAAUAUUCAUAAUUCAAAAGGAAUUUAAAUAAUAGUUUUGGCCUAUGUUUUAAUUUUAUUAAGGCAUUAAAUGACUUUAUAAAAAAAUGUGGUUCAUCACCAUAAUUACUUACAUAUUAUUUGUAAAAUUAUGAACAUUUUUGUCUUUAUGUUUGAAAAAUAAUAAUUUGACUUCAUUUUUAUUUUGAAAUUGCCUUUGAUUUUUAACAAGUAGCAAUUUGGCUUAGCUAAUCUUGAUGUCCUGACAUCAUUAGCGUGUGAAUACCGUAGCUUGAUUAGAGGGGUUACUCUAGCCUAAUCCGGGAAUGUUACACUAUUUUCUUGAGAGAAGCACUAGUGAAAUCUACGACCCAGGGGUCUAUUCAAUCAUCAUAUACUUUCAGAUCCAUAUUGCUAUUUGCCUUUUCCUUUAUUUGCAACAUUUAUUUUCAGAUCUAUAUUAUGAAAAACACAAAAAUACCUUGUUGCACUUUUUUGUUACUUCUUUUAUUUCGUCUUUACGAGAGAUCUAUUUAUCCAAACUAUCGUCAAACUAUCUAUCUUACGUCACGUUGCAAGUGUUUGUUAUUUGUGUGCAGACGCCGUCUACAUAGUGUUGCGUAAUUCUUCUAUUGGUUCGAUAACCUUGGUCUGAUCAUUGAGGGAAAUACCUACCAUUGUUGUGCUGCAUCAUCCCUUCCUCUUUGAGAAAAAUACCAACAUAGUUCAAGCGACAUCACGUUCCUUUGGUGCGUAGUGGUCUUAUUGCAGAGGAAAUAUCAAACACACCUUGCCAUCAACCAUGAUGAAGAUCCAGAGCUGCUUGUUGGCAUGAUCGACGACCCACCUGAAGAGGCAUCGUCAUCGGUACCUUCAAAAGCCUGAUGCCCUGCCAAGAAUGAACAAAAACCUUGUGCAACUCACUGAUGAGCGGGUUAUGUGCCACUUCGUCAAGCUCAUCAAUGGUCGUGUCAUCGUUGAUCCCAACUAUUAUGUGGCCAGGCUCAAGCGAGUGGUUGACAGAAAUGAUGUCCCCGACGAAGAAGAGGAAUACCAUCAUGAUAUCUUGUGGGGGCAGGUCGUGCGUGGAAUAUGUUACCAAAGGGGAGAGAUUGAGAUGGAGCGGUUCCACGGGCGUGUCAUGCGCGUGAUUGCACGUUGUCAAUAUCUACUCGAUGAGGCCCGGCAGCCCCAAGAGCCUUCUAGUAGCAUCGGG